rnacentral:rRNA from 1 species
CGGGUGCACUGAUCCGGCCGGGCCUUUCCCUCUGUGGAACCCCAUGGCCUUCACUGGCUGUGCGGGGGAAACAGGACUUUUACUGUGAAAAAAUUAGAGUGCUCCAGGCAGGCCUAUGCUCGAAUACAUUAGCAUGGAAUAAUAGAAUAGGACGCGUGGUUCUAUUUUGUUGGUUUCUAGGACCGCCGUAAUGAUUAAUAGGGACAGUCGGGGGCAUCAGUAUUCAAUUGUCAGAGGUGAAAUUCUUGGAUCUAUUGAAGACUAACUACUGCGAAAGCAUUUGCCAAGGAUGUUUUCAUUGAUAAGGAACGAAAGUUAGGGGAUCGAAGACGAUCAGAUACCGUCGUAGUCUUAACUAUAAACUAUGCCGACUAGGGAUCGGACGAUGUUAUUUCUUGACGCGUUCGGCACCUUUCGAGAAAUCAAAGUGCUUGGGCUCCAGGGGGAGUAUGGUCGCAAGGCUGAAACUUAAAGAAAUUGACGGAAGGGCACCACCAGGGGUGGAACCUGCGGCUUAAUUUGACUCAACACGGGGAAACUCACCAGGUCCAGACACAGUGAGGAUUGACAGAUUGAGAGCUCUUUCUUGAUUCUGUGGGUGGUGGUGCAUGGCCGUUCUUAGUUGGUGGAGUGAUUUGUCUGCUUAAUUGCGAUAACGAACGAGACCUUAACCUGCUAUAUAGCCCGUACUGCUCUGGCAGUUCGCCGGCUUCUUAGAGGGACUAUCGG